rnacentral:rRNA from 4 species
CCUGGCGGCCUUAGCGCGGUGGUCCCACCUGACCCCAUGCCGAACUCAGAAGUGAAACGCCGUAGCGCCGAUGGUAGUGUGGGG